rnacentral:hammerhead_ribozyme from 1 species
AUCCAGAUGACGAGUCCCAAAUAGGACGAAACGCGCGUCGAACUGGAU